rnacentral:rRNA from 1 species
GAUGAACGCUGGCGGCGUGCCUAAUACAUGCAAGUCGAGCGAACGGACGAGAAGCUUGCUUCUCUGAUGUUAGCGGCGGACGGGUGAGUAAUACGUGGAUAACCUACCUAUAAGACUGGGAUAACUUCGGGAAACCGGAGCUAAUAACGGAUAAUAUUUUGAACCGCAUGGUUCAAAAGUGAAAGACGGACUUGCUGUCACUUAUAGAUGGAUCCGCGCUGCAUUAGCUAGUUGGUAAGGUAACGGCUUACCAAGGCAACGAUGCAUAGCCGACCUGAGAGGGUGAUCGGCCACACUGGAACUGAGACACGGUCCAGACUCCUACGGGAGGCAGCAGUAGGGAAUCUUCCGCAAUGGGCGAAAGCCUGACGGAGCAACGCCGCGUGGGUGAUGAAGGUCUUCUGCUCGUAAAACUCUGUUAUUAGGGAAGAACAUAUGUGUAAGUAACUGUGCACAUCUUGACGGUACCUAAUCAGAAAGCCACGGCUAACUACGUG